UGCAGUCGAACGAGGUAGCAAUACCUAGUGGCGGACGGGUGAGUAACACGUGGGAAUCUGCCUUCAGAUGGGGGAUAGCAAACCGAAAGGUUUAUUAAUACCGCAUAUGUGUGUAUCCCGACAGGGGUGCAUAUGAAAGGAGCAAUCCGUCUGAAGAUGAGCCCGCGCCCGAUUAGCUAGUUGGUAGGGUAAAGGCCUACCAAGGCGACGAUCGGUAGGUGGUCUGAGAGGAUGAUCACCCACAAUGGGACUGAGACACGGCCCAUACUCCUACGGGAGGCAGCAGUGGGGAAUUUUACGCAAUGGGCGAAAGCCUGACGUAGCGACACCGCGUGAGCGAAGAAGCCCUUUGGGGUGUAAAGCUCUGUCAGCUGGAACGAAACAAAUGACGGUACCAGCAGAGGAAGCAUCGGCUAACUACGUGCCAGCAGCCGCGGUAAGACGUAGGAUGCGAGCGUUGUCCGGAUUUAUUGGGCGUAAAGAGUUCGUAGGUGGUUUGUUAAGUCCGAUGUUAAAUCCCGAGGCCCAACUUCGGAGGUGCAUUGGAUACUGGCAGACUGGAGUGCAGUAGAGGCAAGCGGAAUUCCCAGUGUAGCGGUGAAAUGCGUAGAUAUUGGGAAGAACACCAGUGGCGUAAGCGGCUUGCUGGGCUGUAACUGACACUGAGGAACGAAAGCCAG
rnacentral:rRNA from 1 species